UGCGUAGGGUGCGAGCGUUAAUCGGAAUUACUGGGCGUAAAGCGUGCGCAGGCGGUUUGAUAAGACAGGCGUGAAAUCCCCGGGCUUAACCUGGGAACUGCAUUUGUGACUGCAUCGCUGGAGUGCGGCAGAGGGGGAUGGAAUUCCGCGUGUAGCAGUGAAAUGCGUAGAUAUGCGGAGGAACACCGAUGGCGAAGGCAAUCCCCUGGGCCUGCACUGACGCUCAUGCACGAAAGCGUGGGGAGCAAACAGG
rnacentral:rRNA from 1 species